rnacentral:rRNA from 1 species
AUGCAAGCUAUUCACCUCACCUCAACAUGCAACUAUUGCAUCUCAGCACUCAUUGCCACAUCAGCAGCUUACAAAAUAGCUGCUUUGUCCCCAUUAAUGAUUCUGUUUCCAUCCGUGCACCUGAACAACCUCCCUCCCAUCGAUAACUUUAGCACGACAUGUCAGCAGUUCCAACCAUUUAUUCCUAACAUCUUUCUUUCUGGGCGUCCACAAUACUCUUCGUCUACUCCAUCUGGUCCCACUCGUGGAAACAAAUCAACUCAUUGUGGCAGUUAUAGGCUGCCAUUUUCUCAUUCCACUGCUGGUUCUUAA